UAAAGCUAUUUUUGGAGGUGCCUUUCUCUUUUUGAAGAACAAAUAUGCAUUCUGCUUCUCUUUUGUUAGGCAAUUGUGACAUCUGCUCUCAGAAGUAAAGAACUUAACUCCAGUCAAAAGGCAAAUGUGUUCUCAAACUGUGAACCUCUAGGAAAGAUUUCAGUCCCUGAGUGGCUGGCCUUAUUGAUAUUAGAUCUGAGGCACUACAUCAUAAUGAAAGUGUGUGGUGUAUGUGGGAAAACCAGUAACUUCCUGUGGAAAAGAAAGAGUGCAGAGUGCCACAGACCUGCCUUCUUGCAACUUAAGAUUUGAGGAGUUGCUGACUAGUGUUUCCACAAAGAAGUGCUCCAAGACUUCCCAGCUUUCUUCUGAAACACCCAUCUCAUGCUGCACAGCAGGUGCGACAAUUGGAGGAUCCCACCGAGAUUUUGAAA